rnacentral:rRNA from 1 species
UACGUAGGGUGCUAGCGUUGUCCGGAUUUAUUGGGCGUAAAGAGCUCGUAGGCGGUUCGUCGCGUCGGCUGUGAAAACCUGAGGCUCAACCUCAGGCCUGCAGUCGAUACGGGCGGACUUGAGUACUGCAGGGGAGAUCGGAAUUCCUGGUGUAGCGGUGAAAUGCGCAGAUAUCAGGAGGAACACCGGUGGCGAAGGCGGAUCUCUGGGCCACUACUGACGCUGAGAAGCGAAAGCAUGGGGAGCAAACAGG